rnacentral:rRNA from 1 species
CCCGCUGAACUUAAGCAUAUCAAUAAGCGGAGGAAAAGAAACUAACAAGGAUUCCCCUAGUAACUGCGAGUGAAGCGGGAAAGGCUCAAAUUUAAAAUCUGGCGGCCUUUGGCCAUCCGAGUUGUAAUUUAGAGAAGCGUCUUCCGCGCUGGACCGUGCACAAGUCUCCUGGAAUGGAGCGUCAUAGAGGGUGAGAAUCCCGUCUUUGGCACGGAUGCCCGGGGCUUCUGUGAUGCGCUCUCGAAGAGUCGAGUUGUUUGGGAAUGCAGCUCAAAAUGGGUGGUGAACUCCAUCUAAAGCUAAAUAUUGGCGAGAGACCGAUAGCGAACAAGUACCGUGAGGGAAAGAUGAAAAGCACUUUGGAAAGAGAGUGAAACAGUACGUGAAAUUGUUGAAAGGGAAACGCUUGAAGUCAGUCGCGUCGAUCGAGACUCAGCCUUGCCUCGGCUUGGUGUACUUCUCGGCUCGACGGGCCAGCAUCAAUUUUGUCCCUCGAAUAAUGGCAGGGGAAAGGUGGCACCUUUACGGGGGUGUAUAUAGUCUCUUGUCGCAGGCGAGGGGUGGGAAUUGAGGAACUCAGCACGCAUCUUGGUGUCGGCGCUUUGGCCCACGUCACGUGCUUAGGAUGCUGGCGUAAUGGCUUUAAACGACCCGUCUUGAAACACGG